UACCACUUUUUUGGUUCUUGGACUACCUAUUUAGGUAGAGCCCCGUUUACACUACGCUCAAUUUUUGGUAUACCACUUUUUUACCUAAAUAGGUAGUCCAAGAACCAAAAAAGUGGCAC